UUCUUUGUCAACUUUCAUGUA
rnacentral:piRNA from 1 species